GUGUCAGCAGCCGCGGUAAGACGAACCGUGCGAACGUUGUUCGGAUUCACUGGGCUUAAAGGGCGCGUAGGCGGACCCGCCAGUCUGGGGUGAAAUCGUUCGGCUUAACCGGACCAUUGCCUUGGAUACUGCGGGUCUCGAGCGAGGUAGGGGCAUGCGGAACUUCCGGUGGAGCGGUGAAAUGCGUUGAUAUCGGAAGGAACUCCGGUGGCGAAAGCGGCGUGCUGGACCUCUUCUGACGCUGAGGCGCGAAAGCUAGGGGAGCAAACGGGAUUAGAUACCCCGGUAGUCCUAGCCCUAAACGAUGGGUACUAGGUAGUGGACUUGACAUGGGUUCACUGCCGAAGCCAAAGUGGUAAGUACCCCGCCUGGGGAGUAUGGUCGCAAGGCUGAA
rnacentral:rRNA from 1 species